rnacentral:rRNA from 1 species
CCUACGGGAGGCUGCAGUGGGGAAUAUUGGACAAUGGGGGCAACCCUGAUCCAGCCAUGCCGCGUGUGUGAAGAAGGCCCUCGGGUUGUAAAGCACUUUCAGUGAGGAAGAACGCCUGGUGGUUAAUACCCAUCAGGAAAGACAUCACUCACAGAAGAAGCACCGGCUAACUCCGUGCCAGCAGCCGCGGUAAUACGGAGGGUGCGAGCGUUAAUCGGAAUUACUGGGCGUAAAGCGCGCGUAGGUGGCUUGAUAAGCCGGUUGUGAAAGCCCCGGGCUCAACCUGGGAACGGCAUCCGGAACUGUCAAGCUAGAGUGCAGGAGAGGAAGGUAGAAUUCCCGGUGUAGCGGUGAAACGCGUAGAGAUCGGGAGGAAUACCAGUGGCGAAGGCGGCCUUCUGGACUGACACUGACACUGAGGUGCGAAAGCGUGGGUAGCAAACAGGAUUAGAUACCCCGGUAGUC